rfam:Trichophyton rubrum CBS 118892 mitochondrial scaffold supercont2.36, whole genome shotgun sequence.
GGGUUAGUAACUUAAUUGGCAAAGGAUUUUCUUGUCGAGAAAAUAGAUAUCGGAUCGUAGCCGAUUUAACCCG